rnacentral:rRNA from 1 species
GACGAACGCUGGCGGCGUGCUUAACACAUGCAAGUCGAACGGAAAGGCCCUGCUUGCAGGGUGCUCGAGUGGCGAACGGGUGAGUAACACGUGGGUGAUCUGCCCCUUACUUUGGGAUAAGCCUGGGAAACUGGGUCUAAUACUGGAUAGGACCAUGCUGUAGGUGGUGUGGUGGAAAGAUUAGUUUCGGUAAGGGAUGAGCUCGCGGCCUAUCAGCUUGUUGGUGGGGUAAUGGCCUACCAAGGCGUCGACGGGUAGCCGGCCUGAGAGGGUGGACGGCCACAUUGGGACUGAGAUACGGCCCAGACUCCUACGGGAGGCAGCAGUGGGGAAUAUUGCACAAUGGGCGCAAGCCGGAUGCAGCGACGCCGCGUGGGGGAUGACGGCCUUCGGGUUGUAAACUCCUUUCAGCCAUGACGAAGCCCUUGUGGUGACGGUAGUGGUAGAAGAAGCACUGGCUAACUACGUG